AUGCAGUCGAGCGAGAAGCACUUCGGUGCGAGUACAGCGGCGGACGGGUGAGUAACGCGUAGGAAUCUACCUGGUAGUGGGGGACAACAUGGUGAAAACCAUGCUAAUACCGCAUACGCCCUAUGGGGGAAAGCGGGGGAUCUUCGGACCUCGCGCUAUUGGAUGAGCCUGCGUAAGAUUAGCUAGUUGGUGGGGUAAAAGCUCACCAAGGCGACGAUCUUUAGCUGGUCUGAGAGGAUGAUCAGCCACACUGGAACUGAGACACGGUCCAGACUCCUACGGGAGGCAGCAGUGGGGAAUAUUGCGCAAUGGGCGAAAGCCUGACGCAGCCAUGCCGCGUGUGUGAAGAAGGCCUUAGGGUUGUAAAGCACUUUCAAUUGGGAAGAAAGGUUGUACGUUAAUAGCGUGCAGCUGUGACAUUACCUUUAGAAGAAGCACCGGCUAACUCCGUG
rnacentral:rRNA from 1 species